rnacentral:rRNA from 1 species
GAGUUUGAUCCUGGCUCAGGAUGAACGCUGGCGGCGUGCUUAACACAUGCAAGUCGAACGGGAAACCUUUUAUUGAAGCUUCGGCAGAUUUAGCUGGUUUCUAGUGGCGGACGGGUGAGUAACGCGUGGGUAACCUGCCCUAUACAGGGGGAUAACAACCAGAAAUGGUUGCUAAUACCGCAUAAGCGCACAGCAUCGCAUGAUGCAGUGUGAAAAACUCCGGUGGUAUAGGAUGGACCCGCGUUGGAUUAGCCAGUUGGCAGGGUAACGGCCUACCAAAGCGACGAUCCAUAGCCGGCCUGAGAGGGUGAACGGCCACAUUGGGACUGAGACACGGCCCAGACUCCUACGGGAGGCAGCAGUGGGGAAUAUUGCACAAUGGGGGAAACCCUGAUGCAGCGACGCCGCGUGAAGGAAGAAGUAUCUCGGUAUGUAAACUUCUAUCAGCAGGGAAGAUAGUGACGGUACCUGACUAAGAAGCCCCGGCUAACUACGUGCCAGCAGCCGCGGUAAUUC